CGACAGCCCUCGGCCCUGUUCCGACUUCUUCCUCAGCAGUGUCGCAUCCUCAGCCGCUGCUCACCUCUCCUGCAUCCACGUGACUCCACCCUCUGAUCUCACGUCACUCUCCACCCCUCAGUCUCAUCCGUGCCUCACUCACCUGUGUGCUCACAGCGCCCUCCCGUCACAGUGAUCUNCACAGCUUCACCUCGACUCUCUNGAGUUCGCCACACUCACACACUCCCCUCAUUGUGGUNGAUCGUCACGGGACUGUGUNGAUC
rnacentral:rRNA from 1 species